AACGAACGCUGGCGGCAUGCCUAACACAUGCCAGUCGAACGAGACCUUCGGGUCUAGUGGCGCACGGGUGCGUAACGCGUGGGAACCUGCCCUUAGGUUCGGAAUAACUCCCCGAAAGGGGUGCUAAUACCGGAUAAUGUCUUCGGACCAAAGAUUUAUCGCCUUUGGAUGGGCCCGCGUUGGAUUAGCUAGUUGGUAGGGUAAAAGCCUACCAAGGCGACGAUCCAUAGCUGGUCUGAGAGGAUGAUCAGCCACACUGGGACUGAGACACGGCCCAGAAUCCUACGGGAGGCAGGAGUGGGGAAUAGUGGACAAUGGGGGAAAGCAUGAUCCAGCAAUGCCGCGUGAGUGAUGAAGGCCUUAGGGUUGUAAAGCUCUUUUACCCGGGAUGAUAAUGACAGUACCGGGAGAAUAAGCGCCGGCUAACUCCGUG
rnacentral:rRNA from 1 species